GCCGAUGUAGCUCAAGGGUAGAGCAGCUCACUCGUAAUGAGCAGGUUGUCCGUUCAAGUCGGAUCAUCGGCU
rnacentral:tRNA from 1 species